GCCUCAAUAACUCAGUGGUAGAGUGUUUGAUAAAUUUGUAUGGCCACGAGUAACCUGAUAUAUAUUAUCAAAAUGCCAGGGUUCAAAUCCCUGUUGAGGCU
rfam:Lentinula edodes NBRC 111202 DNA, contig: scaffold622.